CCUGGUGCAACAAAACAACUCCACCCGCCAGAGGACGUAUAGGCACAAGCCCAAAACUCAAAGGACUUGACAGUGUCUCAUACCAACCUAGAGGAGCCUGUCCUAUAAUCGAUGAUCCACGAUAAACCUUACCGACCUUAGUCACAUCAGCCUAUAUACCUCCGUCGCCAGCCCGCCUGCCUAACAGCACCAAAGCGAGCAAAACAGCUUACCACAAGCACGUCAGGUCAAGGGUGUAGCUAAUAGGCCGGACAGAGAUGGGCUACAUUUUCUAAUUUUGAAAACACCCGCUAAAAACAUGAAAACUUUAUAGCAAGGUGGAUUUAGCAGUAAGAGGGGCAAGAAAUAAGCCCCCCUGAAGCCCGCUCUGAGACGUGUACACACCGCCCGUCACCCCGUCA
rnacentral:rRNA from 1 species